rnacentral:rRNA from 1 species
UGGUUUAAUUCGAAGCAACGCGAAGAACCUUACCUAAGCUUGACAUCCCAAUGACAUCUCCUUAAUCGGAGAGUUCCCUUCGGGGACAUUGGUGACAGGUGGUGCAUGGUUGUCGUCAGCUCGUGUCGUGAGAUGUUGGGUUAAGUCCCGCAACGAGCGCAACCCUUGUCUUUAGUUGCCAUCAUUAAGUUGGGCACUCUAGAGAGACUGCCAGGGAUAACCUGGAGGAAGGUGGGGAUGACGUCAAAUCAUCAUGCCCCUUAUGCUUAGGGCUACACACGUGCUACAAUGGGUAGUACAGAGGGUUGCCAAGCCGUAAGGUGGAGCUAAUCCCUUAAAGCUACUCUCAGUUCGGAUUGUAGGCUGAAACUCGCCUACAUGAAGCUGGAGUUACUAGUAAUCGCAGAUCAGAAUGCUGCGGUGAAUGCGUUCCCGGGUCUUGUACACACCGCCCGUCACACCACGGGAGUUGGAGACGCCCGAAGCCGAUUAUCUAACCUUUUGGAAGAAGUCGUCGAAGGUGGAAUCAAUAACUGGGGUGAAGUCGUAACAAGGUAGCCGUAUCGGAAGGUGCGGCUGGAUC